AUGGACGACAAGGUGAGCAGUCCGCAACAGCGCUCCAGCGACGCGUCCGAGGUUCUGGGCCACAUCCGUGGGUACUACAAGGAGGCGCUCGGCCGGCUACCGGUGAAGGAGAUGCCGGAGCUCAUCCCCUCGCUCCUCGGCACCGGCUUCUGCUUCGGGCUCCUCGACCCCGUCUCCAACAUCAUCUUCAACACCGUGUCCAGCAGCAAGGACGACGGCCCCACCAAGAAGAUGUCCAAGAAGAGGAAGAGAAGGUCGCAGAUCGAGGCAGACCUGCUCGAAGACUCCAGCGACGGCGACGGCGAUCUGUUCGAAGAUUCCGGCGACGGCGUCGUCCAGCGGUCGCUCAGCGGCCUCGUCACCUUCCUCGUCUGCCGCUUCCGCUACCUACACAGGCGGGAAGCUCUGCGCUACCUGCGGCUGGCCAAGGCUGAUCUCGAUUUGGCCGCCCGCCUCGUCCAGCUCGACCGUGGGAUUACAUCGGCCAUCUGCUCCUCCCCCCUUACCACCAAGAUAGCCCCCUUGACCACCGCCGUCACGGUGGCCCUCAAGUGCGCCGCCACCACUGCGAAGCACCCCUGCCCUUCCACAUUCACGGCCACCUGGUCAUCCAUGUCAUCCCCUCCGACUUCAGCACCAGACACCACCGAUCGUCUUCAGAAGCUGCUCCCCACUUUACCUCAGCCGGGGCUCGGGCUUGGCCACCUCGAUGCGUCUCAGAUUCGAACUCUAAGAUCGCAUCUCACUAGGUGGAUGAAAUGCAAGAAGGGGAUGAAGGUUCCCCUUGAACUAAGAGCAUCAAUCAGCUCUGUGCUUCUGGAUAAAAUCCACAGUAUCUACCUCGAGGCAAUUGCAAACCUUCCAAGGGACGCCUUGUGCGAGCGCCACCAUCGCGGCCUCCUCAAGGCUGGUUACUGCUUCGGCCCCAUUGAUGACCCUGUCUCCAACGUCCUACUCAACACCAUUUGGUAUGACACUGCAUUCCCAGCUCAAGAUGAGUUUCUGAUAGACAUGCUCUGCACUAAAAGCCUUGCACGCUUGGAACAACGGUCAAUGGCUGGCCUUGUGACAUUUGUUCGUGCCCUAUUCCCUGAACUCGCCGAGAAUGUCGCCAUGUUAUAUCUACUUAAGGCCAAUGCCAACCUUCGUGAAGCCAUUUCAAAACUGCAGCUAGAAGAUCAUCAUUUGUCUGGAUCCUAUAAGAAAGCGUACAAGAUGGCCGCUCAGGUAGCAUGUCAUCCCAACCCAAAAGCGCUACGAGAGUUUGCCCUGUCAACUGCGCCAUCAAUCAUGUCCUCCGUACGAUCACUUGUGAAAACCACUGCACACACGUUAUCCUCCAGAGAAGUCGGUGACAUCUCUGCCCUGUUGGCAUCUCUAAGGCCGUCAGUCCAGAAAGUUCCCAAAUUGACGCCCUGUGCGUCUAGUUUUGUCUCACGCCGCCAGGCAAGGUUCGAGGAUGAUCAAAUUUUCUUUCGUGACACGGUUGAAGCUGCACUGAGAGAAUUUUCAAAGCAAUCUGUGGAGGAGAUUGAGUAUCAGCUUCAUGUUAUAUGUGGUGUGGAUGCACAAGUAACAGAGAAUGGGGAGUACGGUUUCUACGACCUCGUAGAUGGAUACCCAUACUGUCAUAUCAACUUCUAUGCAGCACCAAAGGGUUCACCUUCUGAAGCUGGCACAGCCCCAACUCUGUUUUUCGUUGAAUGUAGCAAUGUUGAUGAAGAUGAAAAUGUGCUGCGUUGUUUUGUGGUAGAUCCAUCAACUGAUGAUGGCCGUUGUUACCACUGUGAGUAUAGAGGGACCAGACUUGUGCAUCCUUCUUCUGGAACAUACCAUGGGUGUGAUGCAGAGUUUGAAGAAAUUGCUUCUGAUGGAUAUGGACUCACCAUUGAUGAACUUAUCUACCAUGGGAUGCGCAGAAGUGAGUUUAUGGGCUGGUUGCCUGAAGAGGAUUCAAUCUAUUUUGAUCCACGAUGGGACGUAAAAUUUGCCCAUUAUAUAAAUGAUGCUGCUAAGCCAGGGAGAACACCUGUUCAGUCAAACGGGCUGAUCGCACCAUAA
rnacentral:rRNA from 1 species